UACGUAGGGUGCAAGCGUUGUCCGGAAUUAUUGGGCGUAAAGAGCUCGUAGGCGGUUUGUCGCGUCUGCUGUGAAAUCCCAGGGCUUAACCCUGGGCCUGCAGUGGGUACGGGCAAACUAGAGUGCGGUGGGGGAGAUCGGAAUUCCUGGUGUAGCGGUGAAAUGCGCAGAUAUCAGGAGGAACACCGGUGGCGAAGGCGGAUCUCUGGGCCGUAACUGACGCUGAGGAGCGAAAGCAUGGGUAGCGAACAGG
rnacentral:rRNA from 1 species